GAUGAACGCUGGCGGCGUGCCUAACACAUGCAAGUCGAGCGAUUUACUUCGGUAAAGAGCGGCGGACGGGUGAGUAACGCGUGGGUAACCUGCCCUGUACACACGGAUAACAUACCGAAAGGUAUGCUAAUACGAGAUAAUAUACUUUUAUCUCAUGGUAGAAGUAUCAAAGCUCUGGCGGUACAGGAUGGACCCGCGUCUGAUUAGCUAGUUGGUAAGGUAACGGCUUACCAAGGCGACGAUCAGUAGCCGACCUGAGAGGGUGAUCGGCCACAUUGGAACUGAGACACGGUCCAAACUCCUACGGAGGCAGCAGUGGGGAAUAUUGCACAAUGGGCGAAAGCCUGAUGCAGCAACGCCGCGUGAGCGAUGAAGGCCUCGGUCGUAAAGCUCUGUCCUC
rnacentral:rRNA from 1 species